CUCAAAUAACCAUUGGAAAGAGAUUAAAAAAAUGAAAUAACCACAACCAAUGAACAAGCCAGCAGUGUUCUGGAAUAUCUACAACAUCAAUUUGCCUGCUUACCUUAGGUGUUGCCAUAAACCUUGCGUCAGAGAACUGCUACACUUGCACAGAUCAGCCUUGCAACUCAGGCAUCAGAUAGAUGAAGAUUCUUGAAAACUCUUUGGUGAAAGUCCUGUUUUAUAAGAAAAUGUUCCAGGGUAAUUUCGGUCUGCAUAAAAGAAAAUCUGUCAACAACAUCUUGUUUGCCUGGAUUUCUUGUCCAUUCUAGUUUCCUCUAAAAGAUCAAUCUCCACACAAAGCUGUUUCCACUGUAGCUGCAGAAUGAACUGUGAAACAUAUUUAAGAAGAAAUAUCCAUGUACAGGAGGCUUUGUCUGCUUUUCAGCUGGAACUGGAAAUUCCCAGUUGAGCAGUAACUGGCAUGAUGAGAUUUCAUGGAGAUUAUCGACCAAAUAAACUUCAGCAGCUUCAAGGGAACCAUUAUGGACACAUCAUGUUUAUUUCAAUAAUGACCUGCGUUCCUUUCACAAUUAUUCUCAGAGAACCUGACAGAGUUACCAUGAAAGAUGAAGAUAAUCAUUCCAGUCCAAUAUUUUUAGGCAGCCUUUUAGUGCUCAUGUCAUUCAAGCCCUGAAAGUCAAUCAUGGAAAUUGGAUGGAGACAGCUCUUGAAAAGAGACAAGGUAAAAAAAGAAAAAGGAAGAACAGGAGACAGAAUGUAAGCCAGUGAAGAGGAUGCAUUGCUGUAACUCAGGAAGUCCUGGUUCUGCUCUGUGUUACCACUGAUGUCACUGAUGACUUUGAGGAAAGACAUUGACGCCCUGGAGCGUGUUCAGAGAAGGGCAAUGAAGAUGAUGAGGGGUCUGGCGCACAAGUCUUACGAGAGUGGAUGAGGUAACUGGGACUGUUUUGUCCGGAGAAGAGGAGGCUCAAGGAAGACCUUUUUGCUAUCUACAACUCCCUGACAGGAGGCUGUGGUGAGAGGGCAUUGGCCUCUUCUGCCAGGUAACAGUGAUAGGAUGACAGGGAAUGGCCUCAGGUUGCACCAGGGGAGUUUCAGGUUGGAUAUUAGUUACUUCUCUGAGAGAGCUAUUAGACAGUACAGCAAGUUGCUCAGAAAGGUGGCUUAGUCAUCGACCUGGGAGGUUACUUUAAUAUGAUAUGAUUCUAAUAAACAUAGAAGUGUUGUGGAAGUCCAGAAAAGAACUGUACCUCUUCCUGAAUCAGUACAUGGUUAUUUAAGGAUCAUCUUGCAUACCUAUAGUUCUGAAGUUGUGUCAUUUUUCAAUUCAUGACAGGCCAGAAAGAGAACACACAAAAUGGUAUGGUUGUUUAACCUGCUACUGAGGGCCUUCAAUUAGACAUGGCAAGUUCUCGACCCUUGCUUCAUCUUUUGGUACAUACUGUAAUAUGCUGCUGAUUUCAACUGCUAUUGUGAAAUUUAAAAAAUGCUAUACUUCAGAGUUGGUUAUAAAGCAUUUUUUCUGAUGUUCUAUAUUUAAAAAUAAAUGAGGGAAUAAAAUAUUUUUUUCAAAAACUGGGCAACAUACAAGCUUAGUGAAAACUCUGGCAGGUUAAAAGUAAAAUCCAUGCUGCACAUUAUAGUUGUAAACCAUGCUGAUGAAGACUCCUGAAUUAUAGUAUUUUC
ensembl:lncRNA